rnacentral:rRNA from 1 species
GACGAACGCUGGCGGCGUGCUUAACACAUGCAAGUCGAACGGAAAGGCCCUGCUUGCAGGGUACUCGAGUGGCGAACGGGUGAGUAACACGUGGGUGAUCUGCCCUGCACUUCGGGAUAAGCCUGGGAAACUGGGUCUAAUACCGGAUAUGACCUUCCAUGUAGUGUGGGGGGUGGAAAGAUUUAUCGGUGUGGGAUGAGCCCGCGGCCUAUCAGCUUGUUGGUGGGGUAAUGGCCUACCAAGGCGUCGACGGGUAGCCGGCCUGAGAGGGUGGACGGCCACAUUGGGACUGAGAUACGGCCCAGACUCCUACGGGAGGCAGCAGUGGGGAAUAUUGCACAAUGGGCGGAAGCCUUAUGCAGCGACGCCGCGUGGGGGAUGACGGCCUUCGGGUGGUAAACCUCUUUCGACAGGGACGAAGCUUCGGUGACGGUACCUGUAUAAGAAGCACCGGCUAACUACGU